rnacentral:rRNA from 1 species
CCUACGGGUGGCAGCAGUGGGGAAUAUUGCACAAUGGGGGAAACCCUGAUGCAGCGACGCCGCGUGAGUGAAGAAGUAUUUCGGUUCGUAAAGCCCUUUUAGCAGAGAAGAAAAUGACGGUAUCUGACUAAGAAGCCCCGGCUAACUCCGUGCCAGCAGCCGCGGUAAUACGUAGGGGGCAAGCGUUACACGGAUUUACUGGGAGUAAAGGGAGCGUAGACGGCGCUGUAAGUCAGGUGUGAAAUCCCAUGGCUUAACCAUAGUACUGCCCUGGAAACUGUGGGUCUUGAGUGUGGGAGGGGCAGGCGGAAUUCCUGGUGUAGCGGUGAAAUGCGUAGAUAUUAGGAGGAACAC